CCAUUAACUCAGCAUGGCAGGAAAGUACGGGUUUCACUCCAGCUGAAGUUGCUUUGGGACGUAAGUUGAAGGGUCCUCUAGACAGGCUGAUCCAGAGACCACCUAAUCCAGACCAUCUAGCAUAUAACACCCUUGAAAGGCAGAAAGCUUUCCUUGAGCAAGUGAUUGCAAAGACCAGCCAAGCACAAGAGAGACAAGGAAAAUACUACAAUCAACGUAGAAAACCAAAGUCCUUUGAGGAAGGAGAUUUGGUUUGGAUCCUCACACACCCUCUGUCUCGAGCUGCAGAUUCCUUUAUGGCCAAAUUAGCUCCGAAAUGGCAAGGUCCUGGCAAAAUUGUAAAAAAGGUAAAUAAUGUCAACUACAGAGUGGUAAUGCUUGAUAAACCCAGUCAAUGUGAUACUUACCAUGUGGAAAAGUUGAAGGAAUUUUAUGGAACUGUAUAACUCUUUUCUUUAGGGGAAGGGGUGUGUAACAGUUUUCCUGUUACUAUUUGAAAAUUCUACCUGUAGUAGCUAUCUCACCCAUUAGAGGGCGAUCUAGGUAGUAAGUCUCCAAUCUGCUUAAAAGGAGGUAGAGAAGAAGCAGUAGGUAGGAAGUAUGGUGCCUAGCACAUGGAAAGGCUUCUUCACUGCGCUGUUGUUUGUUGCCCUUAUUUGAGGAACAUUUUUGUUCUUAUAUCUCAGAUAGGGUUUUUUGGUAUCCACUUUAAGUCAUCAAAACAGGACCUGGACAAUCCAUCCUCAUAUCCACAGACUUUUUCCAUCCACUUUCCUACUGAUUCCGUGGCCAGCCAUUGAUGAACUGUUUGCUGAACUUGAUCUUUCAUGUGAUUCACUUAAGGACUGUUGGUAUCUUUUUUUGGAUUGCUAUAAAUACUGGAUUCAAUGAGAGACACUUAUCGAGUGCUUAUUUCUGUCUAAUAGUGAUCAUUAAUGAGUUGACUGCUGAUCAUUUCAUAUCCCCAGUGUGUAACAAUAAUUAUUCAUACCUGCUGUCAUAUACAUUUAUUCUAAAUACACAUGAAUCUCUGAAAGUU